rnacentral:lncRNA from 1 species
CGGCUGUCGCCAUAAUGCAAUAUGGCAGAUUUAAAUCAUUUAUCAUUCCUUGAGUUUAGGACUUGGCCUUUUUCUCCAAGUUCAGAUCACAAUUAAAAUUUAGAAAAGUAAAUACUCAGAAUAAGCAAAAAGAGAAAGCGGAAAGCCACCAACCAAAUUCAUUUUAACAUUGUGCACAAUUUAACUGAAAACUGCAGAGGACAACAAUCCAAUAAGAAAAGAUAACAAAUCUAUUCGAUCAUAUCAAACUAAGCAUAUCUUUUCCUUCCACCUAAUAUAUUGAGAAUGCUUAGAAUGUGUAUAAAUAGAUGACAUCCAUCUUCACUUUUACAAUCUUGAGGCACUUGGAACAUUCAGCAACAUGAAUGUGCACUUGUUAGGCUGCUUUGCCUGCACAUAAAACAACCUAAGAUUUUAGACCAAGUUACAUGUUUUUGUUCGUAUAAUUAAGGGUAUCCCCUCAUCCCGUGGAUAAAGAAGUAUGUGUGGUUGUCCUCUCAACAACCGCUGCUCAGAGAAAUCGAUUUUUUUUACCUUUUAGUUAUUUUGGGAUGCAAUAGAGUCUUACAUCACUAAACCAAGUUAUUUAACUCUAAUAAAAUUGUUUUUUGAUAGACAAUAAGAAAGAUGCAAACCUUGAAUGAAGACAUUUAGGAAGUGAAGAAAGAUCCACUCUUGAUAGCAUCUUCAUUAGCAUUACCAAGAGCAGCCUCAUUCAAGUACUUGUCUGCCAAUUGGACUCUCUUCACAUUGUCUUGUUCUUGGACAAGCAUGUUACCAUAUCCCAAGAGAGUCUCCAGUGUCAUCUUUGGCUGGUCAAAAGUUGGAGGUCCUUC